CCACUACCAGCUGCAGCUCAUCAAUCUCUCACUCUCACUCUCACUCUCUCUCUCUCUCUCUCUCUCUCUCUCUCGAUCUCUCUCUCUCACUCACUCACUCCGGCGCAAGUUUCUCUCUCUCCGGUAGCUCUCUUUCCGGCGCACCUCUCUCUUUGCCAGCUCUCACACCGGCGCACUUAACGCUCUCUUGUAGCUCUCUCUCCGGCGUACCUCUCUCCGGUGGAUGCUGUGCCGGUUCUUGUAGAGCACAUUCAUAGGACAACAGCUAAACUACUUCUCCACAUUAAUGGGAGAUUCUUAAGGAGGUGUCUGGACCUAGUGUUCAUCCUGUCUUAAGUAAUAUUCGGCGCCCAGGAGUAGCUGCUGUUGAAGCUCACACCAAGCAGAUUGAUCAUAACAAUGACAACAACAGGACGCAAACGUGUUCCAGCAGCACGAAGCCGAGGCCAAGGUCAAGGUCGGGGUCUUAUUGACGAGCAUGAGAGUCCGACUCCCAAUUCUGGGUUUGGUGAUACAGAUAUGCAAAUGUCGCCCUCGCCCCCCCUCCCCCUCCAGUCAGUGGAUGGGCAUCCUUCGCACGAAUCUAAUAAUCCUAUUCACUUAGUGGCUGGAUUGGAUUCACAGGGAGCCGCCCCUACUGCAUCUUCUACCACGUCUGUCAGAAGUGUAAGGGGUAAGGCCAAGUGUAAGAAGUUGAGUGACCACGUACUUGAGAAUGGUCUUAGUGCUAAACAUCACAAAUAGACACCGAGCACUUGUAGGCGAGGAUGCAGCAUGGUUUGCAAGCAAGAUUGGGGAGAUUAGUCAUAACAUGUGCGAACUCCAUCACAGUGAAUGGAAGAAAGUCCUAGCUGAGGAAAAGAGCAAGUUGUUAUUCCAUGUUCAAUAAACUUCGCAUUGAAUAUGGGACAAUACGAGUACAUCAAAGCUGUUGAACAUAAAUUGGAUCGUGCAUAUGCUAAGCUUCGUUCGAACUUGUAUAGGGACCACUACAAGAAAUAUUUUGAAGGCAUUCAUAAAGACGAUGAUGAGGGGAUUGCCAAGGCUAAGGCUAUUGGGAGGGAAAACGUGCCAGCAGGGUAUGGUCCUGAACAGUUGAACCUAAUAUGUGACUCAUUUGAUGACGGUAAAUGGAAGGAAAAGUCUGAAUGAAAUAUAAAAAACAGAAGCAAAUUGGAAACAUUAGAGGAAUGGGAUGCGGUCUUAUUCCUACCCCUUUAAGUACUUCAUCUCAAGCGUUUGCCCACUUCGACAACCAUGACGAGUGUAGGAAAAGACAAGAAGACACUCAAAGCGAGCUUCAACAGACUAGAAUCGAACUUCAUCAAUACAAGGAAAAUCUGCAAGCCAACGUUGAGGAAACGAACAAAUUGAAAGCCACUGUUGAGUUCUUAAUGUCACGUAUUGGAGGGUCUAAAGGGUGCUUGAUUGGAGGUGAAUCAAGUGAAGCCAACAAUUGAGGGAGCUUUGGAAUAACCAUUUAUUUGGGAUGUACUUUUUGAUACCAUCUAUUUGGGAUAUAUUUUUUGAUACUAUGUAUUUGGAUAGCUGUUGGUACUUUAUAUUUGCUACUGUGUAUUUGAGUAUUGGUUGAUCGUGAUCUGUU